rnacentral:rRNA from 1 species
AGUGGGGAUAACGUAGCGAAAGUUACGCUAAUACCGCAUAUGCCCUGAGGGGGAAAGGAGGGGAUCGCAAGACCUUUCGCUUUCGGAGUGGCCGAUAUCGGAUUAGCUAGUUGGUGGGGUAAAGGCCUACCAAGGCGACGAUCCGUAGCUGGUCUGAGAGGACGACCAGCCACACUGGGACUGAGACACGGCCCAGACUCCUACGGGAGGCAGCAGUGGGGAAUUUUGGACAAUGGGCGCAAGCCUGAUCCAGCCAUGCCGCGUGAGUGAAGAAGGCCUUCGGGUUGUAAAGCUCUUUCGGACAGAAAGAAAUCGCACGGGCUAAUACCCUGUGUGGAUGACGGUACUGUAAGAAGAAGCACCGGCUAACUACGUGCCAGCAGCCGCGGUAAUACGUAGGGUGCGAGCGUUAAUCGGAAUUACUGGGCGUAAAGCGUGCGCAGGCGGUUUUGUAAGACAGGUGUGAAAUCCCCGGGCUUAACCUGGGAACUGCACUUGUGACUGCAAGACUAGAGUGCGGCAGAGGGGGGUAGAAUUCCA